GACGAACGCUGGCGGCGUGCUUAACACAUGCAAGUCGAGCGAUGAAGUUUCUUCGGAAAUGGAUUAGCGGCGAACGGGUGAGGAACACGUGAAGAAUCUGCCCUCCACUUUGGGAUAACACGGGGAAACCUGUGCUAAUACCGAAUAUUGAAACAUAAGUGGCAUCACUGAGUUUUGAAAGAAUUUCGGUGGAGGAUGACUUCGCGGCCUAUCAGCUAGUUGGUGAGGUAAUGGCUCACCAAGGCAACGACGGGUAGCCGGCCUGAGAGGGCGACCGGCCACACUGGGGCUGAGACACGGCCCAGACUCCUACGGGAGGCAGCAGUGGGGAAUAUUGCACAAUGGGCGAAAGCCUGAUGCAGCGACGCCGCGUGAGGGAUGAAGGUCUUCGGAUUGUAAACCUCUUUCAGUAGGGACGAAGCGAAAGUGACGGUACCUAAAGAAGAAGCACCGGCUAACUACGUGCCAGCCGCCGCAGUAA
rnacentral:rRNA from 1 species